GGCUGGCUGAAGGCAGUGAGUUAUCUCAUUGGAUUGUUGACACGGUUAACCAUCAAAAGCCUUGUUCUACCUUCCCCUACUCACGAGUGCACUCAACUAGUGUUAA
rnacentral:Y_RNA from 1 species